rnacentral:lncRNA from 1 species
AUGAGAGAAAAUCGGUGUUCGACAUACCCCCAGGACCGUUUCCUCACAGAGAAUGAUACGGUUGAGGGGACGGAGGAAAAGGACGAAAAGCAGAAAAGGGAAAAUGCCUCUCGCUCUCGCAAGGCGGCCACGCCCAGACGCAGAGCAGGAGCGAGGAGCCUGCGGACCGUCCCCACCAGCUCGGCCCCCAGGCGGCGGCCCUCGGCGCCGUUCCAGGCGCCCCUGCGUCCCCCCGUGGGGUCUCGGGUGCACGGCCCCCCAACGGGCAGAGCGUGGUCCCUAACACACAGGAGUGCGCGUGCAAGCGGGCGGACGGUGUUCUCGCCGCGCGGCGUAAGGGCCGCAGCACACGGCACGAGCCCGGCGCUGCUCCAAGUGCUUUCUCGGGGGGCGGGGGAGGGGGCGCACAUCCUCGGGAGGGGCUGUGGCUGGGUGACCUGCCGGGGCCCGCAGGGAGGACCGUGGGCAGCGGGUCCGGAGGCCGGGGGGGCUCUCGGCUCCCACACCCACCCCGAGACGCCCCCACGGGUUUCCCCCCCAGGAGACGAGCCCACGAUGCUCGUCAUCUCCGGGCACAGCCACGGGGAGGAAGCCACAUCCCAGGAGCCCCACGCGGCCAGGGCGCAUUCCUGGGCUGCUCUGCUCAGGAGGCAGCGCCCAAGCGAGGACAAGCGGCAGGCCAGGCCCAGGGCCACGUGGCCACAGGGAUCGGACACCGAGGCGACCCCGCACCCGCGGGGCUGUUUCCUUCUCUGCACGGGAGAGAUCGCUGCCGGAGUCGCGGCCACGGGGGGCCUGGAGGGGGCGGCCACGCAGGGAUUAAUUAGCCCAGGACGCGCUUGGGAAAUAACACCCAGGAGGCCCGCUGCAAGCGACCUAGUUCUCCUAAGGCCAAUGCCACGUCCUCCCCGCGCGAGGAAAGCUCCUCUACCCACAGGCAGGCGCCUGCCCCGGGCCGUCACCCGUCUGGGCCCCGAUGCGCGGGGUGGCCACUCGGUGUCUCAGCAGCAGCUGCUUCCGGGGCCGGGGCCGUGCCCCCCGCCUGCCUCGGCGCCCUGA